rnacentral:rRNA from 1 species
AACGAACGCUGGCGGCAUGCCUAACACAUGCAAGUCGAACGAGCCCUUCGGGUCUAGUGUCGCACGGGUUCGUAACGCGUGGGAACCUGCCCUUAGGUUCGGAAUAACUCCCCGAAAGGGGUGCUUAUACCGGAUCAUGUCUUCGGACCAAAGAUUUAUCGCCUUUGGAUGUGCCCGCGUUGGAUUAGCUAGUUGGUAGGGUAAAAGCCUACCAAGGCGACGAUCCAUAGAUGGUCUGAGAGGAUGGUCAGCGACACUGGGACUGAGACACGGCCGAGACUCCUACGGGAGGGAGCAGUGGGGAAUAUUGGACAAUGGGCGAAAGCCUGAUCCAGCAAGGACGCGUGAGUGAUGAAGGCAUUAGGGUUGUAAAGCGCUUUUACCCGGGAUGAUAAUGACAGUACCGGGAGAAUAAGCUCCGGCUAACUCCGUG